ACCGAUGACGGCGACUACAAUAUCAAGCUGCGUAACCUCAUCAAGUUCCUCGAUGAAGGCGACAAAACCAAAAUCACGCUGCGUUUCCGCGGCCGUGAGAUGGCGCACCAGGAUAUUGGUUUCCGCAUGCUGGAACGUCUGAAGGCCGACCUGGAGCCGUACGGCCAGGUCGAGCAGUUCCCGAAGAUGGAAGGCCGUCAGAUGAUCAUGGUCCUGUCGCCCAAGAAGAAAAAGUAAGCCGUACCAGCUGUGAACUGUCGGGCUGGGCGCCGAUCUUGGCGCCCGCCGCUUUUCCAGUGCAGAAUUGCGGCAGUUGGUCUAUA
rnacentral:misc_RNA from 1 species